GACGAACGCUGGCGGCGUGCCUAAUACAUGCAAGUCGAACGAACCGCGACUAAGUGCUUGCACUAAGUCAAGGUGAGUGGCGAACGGGUGAGUAACACGUGGGUAACCUACCUCAUAGUGGGGGAUAACAGUCGGAAACGACUGCUAAUACCGCAUAGGACAUAGGAUCACAUGAUCCAGUGAGGAAAGGUGGCGCAAGCUAUCGCUAAGAGAUGGACCCGCGGUGCAUUAGCUAGUUGGUAGGGUAAAGGCCUACCAAGGCGAUGAUGCAUAGCCGACCUGAGAGGGUGAUCGGCCACAUUGGGACUGAGACACGGCCCAAACUCCUACGGGAGGCAGCAGUAGGGAAUCUUCCGCAAUGGACGCAAGUCUGACGGAGCAACGCCGCGUGAGUGAAGAAGGUCUUCGGAUCGUAAAGCUCUGUUGUUAGAGAAGAACAGCGCAUAGAGUAACUGCUAUGCGUGUGUCGGUAUCUAACCAGAAAGCCACGGCUAACUACGUG
rnacentral:rRNA from 1 species